AUACGGAGGAUGCGAGCGUUAUCCGGAUUUAUUGGGUUUAAAGGGUGCGUAGGCGGAAAGUUAAGUCAGCGGUGAAACGCAGGUGCUCAACACCUGACCUGCCGUUGAGACUGGUUUUCUGGAAUGCGGAUGCUGUGGGAGGAAUGUGUGGUGUAGCGGUGAAAUGCAUAGAUAUCACACAGAACACCGAUUGCGAAGGCAUCUCACAAAUCCGCUAUUGACGCUGAGGCACGAAGGUGCGGGGAUCGAACAGGAUUAGAUACCCUGGUAGUCCGCACAGUAAACGAUGAUGACUCGCUGUCGGCGAUAGACAGUCGGUGGCCAAGCGAAAGCGAUAAGUCAUCCACCUGGGGAGUACGACCGCAAGGUUGAAACUCAAAUGAAUUGACGGGG
rnacentral:rRNA from 1 species